UACAGAGGGGGCAAGCGUUAUUCGGAAUUAUUGGGCGUAAAGGGCGCGUAGGCGGCCUGGCAAGUGGAAGGUGAAAUCCCUCGGCUUAACCGAGGAACUGCCUCCCAAACUGCUUGGCUUGAGACCGGGAGAGGUGAGUGGAAUUCCCAGUGUAGCGGUGAAAUGCGUAGAUAUUGGGAGGAACACCAGUGGCGAAGGCGGCUCACUGGACCGGUACUGACGCUGAUGCGCGAAAGCGUGGGGAGCAAGCGGGGAUUAAGAAACCCCGAGUG
rnacentral:rRNA from 1 species